GCAACCCCAUAUCAGACGGAAUUACCCGCUGAGUUUAAGCAUA
rnacentral:rRNA from 1 species